UACGUAGGUGGCAAGCGUUGUCCGGAAUUACUGGGUGUAAAGGGCGUGUAGGCGGGUUAUUAAGUCAGAUGUGAAAUUCCAAAGCUCAACUUUGGCGCUGCAUCUGAAACUGAUAAUCUUGAGUGCUGGAGAGGAAAGCGGAAUUCCUAGUGUAGCGGUGAAAUGCGUAGAUAUUAGGAGGAACACCAGUGGCGAAGGCGGCUUUCUGGACAGUAACUGACGCUGAGGAGCGAAAGCGUGGGGAGCAAACAGG
rnacentral:rRNA from 1 species